rnacentral:rRNA from 1 species
GCUUGCAGGUACACCACCUUGGGCUGUGAUCCUGCUUGAUACCACAAGCUCAGCAGGGUCAGUGUGGGUUAGUACUUGGAUUCACGGGAGUGACGCAUGCUGCAGGGA